rnacentral:rRNA from 1 species
AUUGAACGCUGGCGGCAUGCUUUACACAUGCAAGUCGAACGGCAGCGGGGAGGAGCUUGCUUCUCUGCCGGCGAGUGGCGAACGGGUGAGUAAUACAUCGGAACGUGUCGAGAAGAGGGGGAUAACCACCCGAAAGGGUGGCUAAUACCGCAUAAAUUCUGAGGAAGAAAGCUGGGGACCUAGGAAUAGGCCUAGCGCUUUUUGAGCGGCCGAUGUCGGAUUAGCUAGUUGGUGAGGUAAAGGCUCACCAAGGCGAAGAUCUGUAGCGGGUCUGAGAGGAUGAUCCGCCCCACUGGGACUGAGACAGGGCCCAGGCCCCGAAGGGGGGCAGCAGUGGGGAAUUUUGGAAAAGGGGGGCAACCCUGAUCCAGCCAUGCCGGGUGUAUGAAGAAGGCCUUAGGGUUGUAAAGUUCUUUUGUUAGGGAAAAAAAGUCGGCUGUGAAAAAUGGCUGAUACUGACGGUACCUAAAGAAUAAGCACCGGCUAACUACGU